GAGAUUUUCUACCUUUUCAUUUAGCCAUACAUCAGAAGGCUAUAAUUUUAAUAAAGUACAAUUUGUGAAUUUUUUUUCAUAGAUCAUACUUUGUUUGUUUGUUUGUUUGAGACAGAGUUUCACUCUGUUGCCCAGGCUAGAGUGCAGUGGUGUGAUCUCGGCUCACUACAGCCUCUGCUUCCCCAUUUCAAGUGACUCUCAUACCUCAGCCUCCCGAGUAGCUGGAAUUACAGGUGUGCACCACCAGGCCCAGCUAAUUUUUUCUAUUUUUAGUAGAGAUGGGGUUUCACUGUGUUGCCAAGGCUAGUCUUGAACUCUUGGCCUCAAAUGAUCCACCCACCAGAGCCUCCCAAAGUGUUGGAAUUACAGGCAUGACCACCACACCCAGCCUCCAUAGAUCAUACUUUUGAUGUUAUAUUUAAAAACUCAUCACCAAAACCAAGAUUUAUCAGAUUUUCUCUUAUGUUACUGAUAUGGUUUGGCUGUAUUCCCACCCAAAUCUCAUCUUGAAUUCCCAUGUAUUGUGGGAGGGAUCCAGUGGGAGGUAAUUGAAUCAUGGGGGCAAGUCUUUCCCAUGCUAUUCUCAUGAUAGUGAAUAAGUCUCAUGAGAUCUCAUGGUUUUUAAAAGAGGAAUUCUCCUGCACAAGCUCUCUCCUCUUUGCUUGCCAAUAUCCAUGUAAGAUGUGACUUGCUCCUCCUUGCCUUCCACCGUGAUUGUGAGGCUUCCUCAGCCACAUGGGACUGUAAGUCCAAUUAAAACUUUUUCUUUUGUAAAUUGCUCAGUCUCAGGUAUGUCCUUAUCAGCAGCAUGAAAACAGACUAAUACAGUAAAUUGGUACCAGUAGAGUGGGGUGCUGCUGAAAAGAUACCUGAAAAUGUGGAAGCUACUUUGGAACUUGGUAGCAGACAGAGGUUGGAACAGUUUGGAGGGCUCAGAAGAAGACAGGAAAAGUUUGGAACUCCCUAGGGACUUGUAGAAUGGCAUCAACAAAAUGCUGAUAAUGAUAUGCACAAUGAAAUCCAGGCUGAGGUGGUCUCAGAUGGAGAUGAGGAACUUGGUGGGAACUGGAGCAAAGGUGACUCUUGUUAUGUUUUAGCAAAGAGACUGGUGGCAUUUUGCCCUUGCCCUAGAGAUUUGUGUAAAUUUGAACUUGAGGGAGAUGAUGGUAUCUAGCAGAAGAAAUUUCUAAGUAGCAAAACAUUCAAGAGGUGACUUGGGUGCUGUUAAAGGUGUUCAGUUUUAAAAGGGAAGCAGAGAAUAAAAGUUCAGAAAAUUUGCAGCCUGAUCAAAUGUGGUAGGAAAGAAAAUCCCAUGUUCUAAGGAGAAUUUCAAGCUGGCUGCAGAAAUUUGCAUAAGUAACAAGGAGCCAAAUGUUAACCACCAAAACAAUGGGGAAAAUGUCUCCAGGGUGUCAGAGACCUUCAUGGCAGCCCCUCCCAUCACAGGCCCAAAGGUUUAGGAGGAAAAAAUGGUUUUGUGGGCUGGGCCCAGGGUCCCUCUGCUGUGUGCAGUCUAGGAACUUGGUGCCCUGCAUCCCAGCUGCUCCAGCUGUGACUAAAAAGGGCCAAGGUACAGCUCAGGCUGUUGCUUCAGAGGGUGGAAGCCCCAAGCCUUGGCAGCUUCCACAUGGUGUAGAGCCUGUGGUUACACAGAAAGUCAAGAAUUGAGGUUUGUAAACCUCCCCCUAGAUUUCAGAGGAUGUAUGGAAAUGCCUCGAUGUCCAUGCAAAAAUUUGUAAGGGCAGGGCCCUCAUGGAGAACCUCUGCUAGGGCAGUGCAGAGGGAAAUGUGGAGUCAGAGCCCCCACACAGAGUCCCUACUGGGGCACUGCAUAGUGGAGCUGUGAGAAAAGAGUUACCAUCCUCCAGACCCCAGAAUGAUAGAUCCACUGACAGCUUUCACAGUGCACCUGGAAAAGCCACAGACACUCAACACCAGCCCGUGAAAGCAGACAGGAGGGGGGCUAUACCCUGCAAAGCCACAGGAGCAGAACUGCCCAAGACCAUAGGAACCCACCUCUUGCAUCAGUGUGACCCAGAUGUGAGACAUGGAGUCAAAGGAGAUCAUUUUGGAGCUUUGAGAUUUGACUGCCCUGUUGUAUUUCAGACUUCUAUGGGGGCCUGUAGCCCCUUUGUUUUAGACAAUUUCUUUCAUGUGGAGUGGCUGUAUUUACCCAAUACCUGUACCCCCAUUGUAUCUAGGAAGUAACUAACUUGCUUUUGAUUUUACAGGCUUAUAGGUGGAAGGGACUUGUCUCCAAUGAACUUUGGAUGGUGGGCUUCUGAGUUAAUGCUGAAAUGAGUUAAGACUUUGGGGGACUGUUGGGAAGGCAUGAUUGGUUUUGAAAUGUGAGGAUGCAAGAUUUGGGAAUGGCCUGGGGCAGAAUGAUAUGGUUUGGCUCUGUCCCCACCCAAAUCUCAUAUUGAAUUCCCGUGUGUUGUGGGAGGGACCCAGUCAGAGGUACCUGAAUCAUGGCGGCAAGCCUUUCCCAUGCUGUUCUCAUGAUAGUGAAUAAGUCUCAUGAGAUCUGAUGGUUUUAAAAAGAGGAAUUCCCCUGCACGAGCUCCCUCUCUUUGCCUGCCACCAUCCACGUAACUUGUGACUUGCUCCUCCUCGCCUUCUGCCAUGAUUCUGAGGCUUUCCCAGCCAUGUGGAACUGUAAGUCCAAUUAAACCUCUUUCUUUUGUAAACUGCCCAGUUUUUAUCUUUAUCAGCAGCAUGAAUACAAAUACAGUUAGCUUCUAGAGGUUUUAUAAUUUUUGCAUUGUACAUUUAGCUGUAUGAUCCAUUUUCAGUUAGUAUUUGUAGGAGCAAGAUUUGUGUGUAGAUUCCUUUUUUUUUUUUUUUUUUUUUUUUGCAUGUGCACAUCCAGUUGUUCCAGCAUCAUUUGUUGAACAGGCUCUCCCUUCUCCAUUGAAUUGCUUUGUUCCUUUGGUGUGGGUCUAUUUCUGGGCUCUUCAUUCUGUUCCAUUGAUCCAUGGGUCUGUUGUUUUGUCAGUUCCAUGCUGUCUUGAUUUCUAUGGCUUUGUAGUAAGUCUUGGAGUCAGGGGGUGUCAGUCCUCCAGCUUUAUAGUUGUUUUGUGCUUUCAUUUUUGGAAGGUUAUCAAUUAUUGACUCAAUUUCUUUAAUAGAUAUAGGCUUAUCAAGAUUAUUGUUUCUUGUGUGAGUUUUGGUAGUUUAUAUCUUUCAAGGAAUUGGCCUAUUUCAUCUAGGUUAUCAAAUUUAUGGCAACAGUUGUUCGUGAUAUUCCUUUAUCAUCCUUUUAAUAUCCAUGGGAUCAGUAUUGAUGACCCCUCUUUAACUUCUGAUACAGUAGUCCCCCAUUGUUAGUGGCUCAAUUUCUGUGAACUUUAGUUAUCUGUGGUCAACAAGAGCCUAAAAAUAUUAAAUGGAAAAUUCCAGAAAUAAACAAUUCAUAAGUUUUAAAUUAUGAAUUUAUGCACCCUUUUUAGUAUCAUAAUGAAAUUUCGCGUUGUCCUGCUCCAUCCAGCCCAGCUCCAUCCCUUUUGUCCAACAUAUGCAUGCUGUGUAUGCCACCUGCCUGUUAGUCAUUGACAUCAUUUGCUCCCGACAUGCUGUCAUCAAUGUCAGCAUGGUUUGAUGAUCCAGGAUCACCUGAAGUAGAUGAUCCUCCUUCUGAUAUAUUGUGGCCUAACAAUAUAGGCCAAUGUUGAAAUGGCCACUGCAAAAUUAUAACUGAGGCAGUGAAAAGAGAUCUGACCUGGCCGGGUGCUGUGGCUCAUGCCUGUAAUCCCAGAAUUCUGGGAGGCCGAGGUGAGGGAAUCACCUGAGGUCAGGGGUUCAAGACCAGCCUGGCCAACAUAGUGAAACCCCGUCUCUAGUAAAAAUACAAAAACUAGCCAGGCGUAGUGGUGCAUGCCAGUAGUCCCAGCUACUCAGAAGGCUGAGGCAGGAGAAUUGCUUGAACCAAGAAGGCUGAAGUUGCAGUGAGCUGAGAUCCUGCCACUGCACUCCAGCCUGGGCGACAAAGUGAAACUCCAUCUCAAAAAAAAAGAAAGAGAUCUGACCUAACCAAUUCCAUCUUACUUUUAACCUCCAAGCUAUCCUUGUUCAUUCCUGACCAUAGGACAAACUAUUAAUAACUUUAUUAAUAACUUUGGGAGGAACUUAGUUUACAGUUUAAAACAAAGACAAUAACAGCCUUUUCCCAAAACAAAGCCUCUUCUUGGCUGGGGACUAGACUGCCUUUGUAGGACUAAUAAAUUAGCCGAAAGAUUAGAAAUUAUGGUUUAGGAGUCAUGCAGCUGGAAGCUACAAGAUUCUGACCAUCCCCAAAGAACUACUGGGGAAAUUAUCACCAUUGUAAAACCUGAGAUCAGUGCUUGUGAUAUUUUGCAGGUCAGCUGGCACCACCCAGAUUCAUAAACUGAGUCAUCUGAUCUUAUGGCCCCAACCCAGGAACUGACUCAGCGUUAAGAGGACAGCUUUGGCCCUGUUUUGUUUGUUUUUUUGUUUUUUUGAGACAGGGUCUCACUCUGUCACCCAGGCUGGAGUGCAGUGACACGAUCUCGGCUUACUGCUACCUCUACCUCCCAGGCUAAAGGCAUCCUCCUGCCUUAGCCUCUGGAGUAGCUGGGACUACAGGUGUGAGCCAACAUGCCUAGCUAAUUUUUGCAUUUUUUGUAGAGAUGGGGUUUUGCCAUGUUGCCUAAGCUGGUCUCAAACUUCUGAGCUCAAUCAAUCAGUCUGCCUCAGCCUUCCAAAGUGCUGGGACUAUAGGCAUGAACCACCACUGCCUGGCCCUAUGAUUUCAUCUCUGACCCAACCAAUCAGCACUCCCAACUUACUGGUUCUCCACCCACCAAAUUAUCCUUAAAAACUCUGAUCCCUGAAUGCUCAGGAAGACUGAUUAGAGUAAUAAUAAAACUCCAGUUUCCAGCACAGCCGGCUGUGUGAAUUACUCUUUCUCUAUUGCAAUUCCUCUGUCUGGAUAAAUUGGCUCUCUGUAGGCAGCAGCAGGCUGGAACGAUUUCUAGAAGGAACACAAAGAGAGGCGGAGAAGCCACUGAAGAAAGAAAGAAAGGAGUAGAGGCUGGGAGCAGGGGGCGGCGUGGGGAAUGCAAAGGAGGAAGAGGGGAGUGGCUGCUGCUGGCCGGAGCCGGCGUCUCUGGUUUUGGUCUGGCCGUGGGCCAGCAGGCAGCGGACAGCACAGCACGACGGGCUUGGAGAGCUGGCAGGGCGCUGCGACAGAAAGAGGACGCCGGUCAGGGUGCUGGGGGAGGGGACCCUCUGCCCACCCAACCCCGCCUGGCCAAGGAAAUGUCCGUGUAGUGAGCAGUGACCACAUGAUGCCCUUUCACCCGCCUCACAUGUUUAAUUAAAAAAACAGAAAA
rnacentral:lncRNA from 1 species